UCAUGGCUCAGAUUGAACGCUGGCGGCAGGCCUAACACAUGCAAGUCGAGCGGAAACGACAACAUUGACCCUUCGGGUGAUUUGUUGGGCGUCGAGCGGCGGACGGGUGAGUAAUGCCUGGGAAAUUGCCCUGAUGUGGGGGAUAACCAUUGGAAACGAUGGCUAAUACCGCAUAAUGUCUACGGACCAAAGAGGGGGACCUUCGGGCCUCUCGCUUCAGGAUAUGCCCAGGUGGGAUUAGCUAGUUGGUGAGGUAAUGGCUCACCAAGGCGACGAUCCCUAGCUGGUCUGAGAGGAUGAUCAGCCACACUGGAACUGAGACACGGUCCAGACUCCUACGGGAGGCAGCAGUGGGGAAUAUUGCACAAUGGGCGCAAGCCUGAUGCAGCCAUGCCGCGUGUAUGAAGAAGGCCUUCGGGUUGUAAAGUACUUUCAGUCGUGAGGAAGGCGUUGNGAGUUAAUA
rnacentral:rRNA from 1 species